rnacentral:rRNA from 1 species
AAACUCAAAGGAAUUGACGGGGACCCGCACAAGCGGUGGAUGAUGUGGUUUAAUUCGAUGCAACGCGAAAACCUUACCCACCUUUGACAUGGCAGGAAUCCCGAAGAGAUUUGGGAGUGCUCGAAAGAGAACCUGCACACAGGUGCUGCAUGGCUGUCGUCAGCUCGUGUCGUGAGAUGUUGGGUUAAGUCCCGCAACGAGCGCAACCCUUGCCAUUAGUUGCUACGAAAGGGCACUCUAAUGGGACUGCCGGUGACAAACCGGAGGAAGGUGGGGAUGACGUCAAGUCCUCAUGGCCCUUAUAGGUGGGCUACACACGUCAUACAAUGGCCGGUACAGAGGGUAGCCAACCCGCGAGGGGGAGCCAAUCCCACAAAGCCGGUCGUAGUCCGGAUCGCAGUCUGCAACUCGACUGCGUGAAGUCGGAAUCGCUAGUAAUCGCAGAUCAGCAACGCUGCGGUGAAUACGUUCCCGGGCCUU